rnacentral:snoRNA from 1 species
UCUUGUGUGAGAAAUGAUGACAUAUAAACAUUCUUCAUACCCAAGUGAAGACAUGAGAUCCAACUCUGAGCUCACCAUGCUGCAAAG